rnacentral:rRNA from 1 species
AACGAACGCUGGCGGCGCGCCUAAUACAUGCAAGUCGAGCGAGAAGACGUAGCAAUACGUUUGUAAAGCGGCGAACGGGUGAGGAAUACAUGGGUAACCUACCCUCGAGUGGGGAAUAACUAGCCGAAAGGUUAGCUAAUACCGCGUACGCUCCUUGGACUUCGGUUCAGGGAGGAAAGCGAUACCGUGGGUAUCGCGCUCUUGGAUGGGCUCAUGUCCUAUCAGCUUGUUGGUGAGGAACGGCUCACCAAGGCUUCGACGGGUAGCUGGUCUGAGAGGACGAUCAGCCACACUGGCACUGCGACACGGGCCAGACUCCUACGGGAGGCAGCAGUAAGGAAUAUUGCGCAAUGGGCGAAAGCCUGACGCAGCGACGCCGCGUGGGGAUGAAGGUCUUCGGAUUGUAAACCCCUUUCGGGAGGGAAGAUGGAACGAGCAAUCGUUCGGACGGUACCUCCAGAAGCAGCCACGGCUAACUUCGUGCCAGCAGCCG